rnacentral:rRNA from 1 species
GUUUCCGUAGGUGAACCUGCGGAAGGAUCAUUACCGAGUGAGGGCCCUCUGGGUCCAACCUCCCACCCGUGUCUAUCGUACCUUGUUGCUUCGGCGGGCCCGCCGUUUCGACGGCCGCCGGGGAGGCCUUGCGCCCCCGGGCCCGCGCCCGCCGAAGACCCCAACAUGAACGCUGUUCUGAAAGUAUGCAGUCUGAGUUGAUUAUCGUAAUCAGUUAAAACUUUCAACAACGGAUCUCUUGGUUCCGGCAUCGAUGAAGAACGCAGCGAAAUGCGAUAAGUAAUGUGAAUUGCAGAAUUCAGUGAAUCAUCGAGUCUUUGAACGCACAUUGCGCCCCCUGGUAUUCCGGGGGGCAUGCCUGUCCGAGCGUCAUUGCUGCCCUCAAGCACGGCUUGUGUGUUGGGCCCCCGUCCCCCUCUCCCGGGGGACGGGCCCGAAAGGCAGCGGCGGCACCGCGUCCGGUCCUCGAGCGUAUGGGGCUUUGUCACCUGCUCUGUAGGCCCGGCCGGCGCCAGCCGACACCCAACUUUAUUUUUCUAAGGUUGACCUCGGAUCAGGUAGGGAUACCCGCUGAACUUAAGCAUAUCAAUAA